UACAGGGGGGGCAAGCGUUGUUCGGAAUUACUGGGCGUAAAGGGCUCGUAGGUGGCCAACUAAGUCAGACGUGAAAUCCCUCAGCUUAACUGGGGAACUGCGUCUGAUACUGGAUGGCUUGAGUUUGGGAGAGGGAUGCGGAAUUCCAGGUGUAGCGGUGAAAUGCGUAGAUAUCUGGAGGAACACCGGUGGCGAAGGCGGCUCACUGGACCGGUACUGACGCUGAUGCGCGAAAGCGUGGGGAGCAAACGGGG
rnacentral:rRNA from 1 species